rnacentral:rRNA from 1 species
AGAGUUUGAUCCUGGCUCAGGAUGAACGCUGGCGGCGUGCCUAACACAUGCAAGUCGAACGGAAACAGGACUUUCGCUAAGCUUCGGCUUAGUUGUUUGUUUUAGUGGCGGACGGGUGAGUAACGCGUGGACAACCUGCCGUAUACAGGGGGAUAACAGAGAGAAAUUUCUGCUAAUACCGCAUAAGCGCACGGGGAGGCAUCUUCCUGUGUGAAAAGAUUUAUCGGUAUACGAUGGAUCCGCGUCUGAUUAGCCAGUUGGCGGGUAAAGGCCCACCAAAGCGACGAUCAGUAGCCGGCCUGAGAGGGUGAACGGCCACAUUGGACUGAGAGACGGCCCAAACUCCUACGGGAGGCAGCAGUGGGGAAUCUUGCACAAUGGACGAAAGUCUGAUGCAGCGAUCCCGCGUGAAGGAUGAAGCAUUACGGUGUGUAAACUUCUUUUUUGGUGGAAGACGAAUGACGGUACACCAAGAAUAAGAGACGGCUAACUACGUGCC